AGUUAAUGAGCUUGAAAUAAGCAUUUGUUUUGAAAACAUAAGAUAGAAUUUAAUUUCUAUUAACUU
rnacentral:tRNA from 1 species